rnacentral:lncRNA from 1 species
UUCUUUUCCAAAUAUCCAAUUCUCCCGCUUUUUAACAACACUUCCUAUUCUCGCUAUUCAAAAAAAAUUGGAAAAAAAAAUAUUCUAAUUUUGAAUUAUUCGAAUUGAUUUAAUCGAAUUAACUUGAAUUUCUUUUCAAAUUUCGAGUUCGAAUCGAGUUGAAAUCUCGAAUUCGAAUAAACUAAAUAUCAAACCCUUUUACUCUCCCCCUCCCCCUCAACACUCUCCC